ACACAACUUCCGACUUUCAGACAUGUACAGUUUGGUUGCAAGAUGCAGCUGGACCAUAUUGCCAUAUUGAGUCAUGGCGGCAACAAUUCCCGGAAAGCACCCGGAUUAAAGGGCCUACAUCUACGUACAGAUACUGAUCAGCAUAAACUCCUUUGGAAUCACAUGUAAACUGCAGUGGAGGGUUUUUCUUUCAGUGCUUCGACCCACACUGAUACUGAUGGGAUAGCAGCAAGUCCAAGAAUGAUGUACCAGUACAGCCCAACUUGAAUAUAUUCCCAACCAUUUUGAUGGGGGGCAGAAGACGGAGCUUCAGGCCAAACUGGUCUAAUCUUCAUCCAUGGCUCGAGUAUUCUGUCAUGAUGGACUCUACCUAUUGCUAUGCAUGUAGACAUUUUUCAUUUUUUAUGGCCCUACCUCUCUUGCACCUGCACUCA